AACGAACGCUGGCGGCAUGCCUAACACAUGCAAGUCGAACGAGACCUUCGGGUCUAGUGGCGCACGGGUGCGUAACGCGUGGGAACCUGCCCUUAGGUUCGGAAUAACUCCCCGAAAGGGGUGCUAAUACCGGAUAAUGUCUUCGGACCAAAGAUUUAUCGCCUUUGGAUGGGCCCGCGUUGGAUUAGCUAGUUGGUAGGGUAAAAGCCUACCAAGGCGACGAUCCAUAGCUGGUCUGAGAGGAUGAUCAGCCACACUGGGACUGAGACACGGCCCAGACUCCUACGGGAGGCAGCAGUGGGGAAUAUUGGACAAUGGGCGCAAGCCUGAUCCAGCAAUGCCGCGUGAGUGAUGAAGGCCUUAGGGUUGUAAAGCUCUUUUACCCGGGAUGAUAAUGACAGUACCGGGAGAAGAAGCUCCGGCUAACUCCGUG
rnacentral:rRNA from 1 species